CCAAAACAACAUCUGCCGGUAACUUCUUAAUUAUUGCCACUUCUACAACCCCCUCCCCAGCACCCCAGUUCAAAUGCACCUUGGCAGUGGGUAACCGGUACAUGGCUCCCCCUGCUACCCGGACAGCCACUGAUCCGCCAGUGUGGGCCGCAUCUGGAACUAAAUGUGGUGCCACUAAGGUCAAAGUGGCUCCCGAGUCCCUCAGCCCCUGUACUUCUUUCCCCCCCACAAACACAACUUGGCGGUGAUGCUGCCUGUUGUCCGUGGCUUGCACAGACAUCACUUCAUAU